CACGUAGGGGGCAAGCGUUGUCCGGAUUCAUUGGGCGUAAAGAGCUCGUAGGCGGUUCGAUAAGUCGGGUGUGAAACCUCCAGGCUCAACCUGGAGACGCCACCCGAUACUGUCGUGACUAGAGUCCAGUAGGGGAGCGUGGAAUUCCUGGUGUAGCGGUGAAAUGCGCAGAUAUCAGGAGGAACACCAGCGGCGAAGGCGGCGCUCUGGGCUGGAACUGACACUGAGGAGCGAAAGCGUGGGGAGCAAACGGG
rnacentral:rRNA from 1 species